ACAUAUCAUAAUUAACCAAUUAGGUGCUCCCUAGGGCUGAUACUGCAUGUCAUAAUUAACCAAUCAGCUGUUCCCUAGGGCUGAUACCUGUUGGAGGAUAUGUUUUUUUGUCUAAAUUUAGCCUGUAUCCAAAACGGCACCCUAUUCCCUAUAGGUAUUAUUCAAAUGGCACCUUAUUCCCUAUGGGCCCUGGUCAAAUGGCACCCUAUUCCCUAUGGGCCCUGGUCAAAUGGCACCCUAUUCCCUAUGGGCCCUGGUCAAAUGGCACCCUAUUACCUAUGGGCCCUGGUCAAAUGGCACCCUAUUCCCUAUGGGCCCUGGUCAAAUGGCACCCUAUUCCAUAUGGGCCCUGGUCAAAUGGCACCCUAUUCCCUAUGGGCCCUGAUCAAAUGGCACCCUAUUCCCUAUGGGUGCUGGUCAAAUGGCAUCCUAUUCCCUAUGGGCCCUGGUCAAAUGGCAUCCAUUCCCUAUGGGCCCUGGUCAAAUGGCACCCUAUUCCCUAUGGGCCCUGGUCAAAUGGCACCCUAUUCCCUAUGGGCCCUGGUCAAAUGGCACCCUAUUCCCUAUGGGCCCUGGUCGAAUGGCACCCUAUUCCCUAUGGGCCCUGGUCAAAUGGCACCCUAUUCCAAUUGGGCCCUGGUCAAAUGGCACCCUAUUCCCUAUGGGCCCUGGUCAAGUGGAAUUCUAUUCCCUAUGGGCCCUGGUCAAAUGGCACCCUAUUCCCUAUGGGCCCUGGUCAAAUGGCACCCUAUUCCCUAUAGGCCCUGGUCAAAUGGCACCCUAUUCCCUGUGGGCCCUGGUAAAAUGGCACCCUAUUCCCUAUAGGCCCUGGUCAAAUGUAGUGCACUAAAAAGAGAAUAGAGUGUAAUUUGGGAUGCCUCAUUUGUCUAAACACAGCAGUACAGCACCACAACAGCAGACCAGACGUACCGUUACAUUGCCAAAGUCUUACAUUGCAGAUGUUUUAGUGCCAAGAUUAAUAUUCCCACUGGCUUCUGGGGGAGAUGGAUGUACUGAUGAAUCUUACUACACCAGGUGGCCAGGUAGCUGUGUACAACAC
rnacentral:lncRNA from 8 species